rnacentral:rRNA from 1 species
CCUACGGGUUGCACCAGUGGGGAAUAUUGGACAAUGGGCGAAAGCCUGAUCCAGCAAUGCCGCGUGUGUGAAGAAGGUCUUCGAAUUGUAAAGCACUUUCGACGGGGACGAUGAUGACGGUACCCGUAGAAGAAGCCCCGGCUAACUUCGUGCCAGCAGCCGCGGUAGUACGAAGGGGGCUAGCGCUGCUCGGAAUGACUGGGCGUAAAGGGCGCGUAGGCGGUUUAUGCAGUCAGAUGUGAAAUCCCCGGGCUUAACCUGGGGACUGCAUUUGAGACGCAUAGACUAGAGGUCGAGAGAGGGUUGUGGAAUUCCCAGUGUAGAAGUGAAAUUCGUAGAUAUUGGGAAGAACACCGGUGGCGAAGGCGGCAACCUGGCUCGAUACUGACGCUGAGGCGCGAAAGCGUGGGGAGCAAACAGGAUUAGAUACCCUGGUAGUC